ACCCUAUAUAUUUAAUAUAAAUACUUAACAUGACCAAGUUGUUCGUUUUGUCAACAUCCAACCCCACUGGAUUCAAGAUAGAUAGUAUAUGCACGUAUAAAAUACGCCUACUGGUGCUGUAUUUCUACGUAUAAGGUGGUGGAGGUGUUAUUUGAGCAGUUCAUAUCUGUUCUGUGGUUUCAGCGUCUAUUUGAAGCUCUUGUCAUCAAUUUCAUAUCUUGUCUCCGCAUUUAUUUGAACCUCUUUAUCAUCAAUCUUCAAGCUUCAGCUGCAGCCUUGGAUUCGUUUGCCCCCGAAAGAAAAGGGAAAUGUUUGACAAAGACUUUUUCACUGAAUAUGGUGAAGCAAGUCAAUAUGAAAUAACAGAUGUAGUCGGCCGAGGAAGUUAUGGUGUGGUUGCAUCUGCUAUAGAUACUCACACUGGAGAGAAAGUGGCUAUUAAGAAGAUGACCAAUAUCUUUGAGCACACCCCUGAUGCAAUUCGCAUUCUUAGAGAGAUCAAACUCCUACGGUUGCUGCGACAUCCGGAUAUAGUUCAAAUAAAACACAUAAUGCUUCCUCCAUGUAGUCGAGAAUUUAAAGAUAUAUUUGUUGUUUUUGAGUUGAUGGAAUCUGAUCUUCACCAUGUUAUAAAGAUAAACGACGAUCUAACCCCUGACCAUCAUCAAUUUUUCUUGUACCAGCUCCUUCGGGGUCUAAAAUACAUUCACACAGCUCAUGUUUUCCAUAGAGAUUUAAAGCCAAAAAAUAUACUUGCUAAUGCGGACUGCAAACUGAAGCUUUGUGAUUUUGGACUUGCUCGGGUAUCAUUUACUGAUGUACCUUCAGCUAUUUUUUGGACUGACUAUGUGGCUACUCGAUGGUAUCGUGCUCCUGAGCUGUGCGGUUCAUUUUUCUCAAAUUACACCCCUGCUGUUGAUAUUUGGAGUGUAGGAUGUAUAUUUGCUGAGUUGCUUACAGGGAAACCGUUGUUUCCUGGGAAGAAUAUCGUGGAUCAGUUGGAACUCGUGACUGAUUUGCUUGGCAGUCCCUCUGUGGAAACAAUUGCAAGGAUACGAAAUGAAAAAGCUAGAAAGUAUUUGAAUAGCAUGAGAAAAAAGAAAUCAAUCCCUUUCUCACAAAAAUUUCCAACUAUAGAUCCAUUGGCCCUCAAUUUGCUUGAGCGUCUCAUCGCAUUUGAUCCUAAUGAUCGUCCAUCUGCUGAGGAGGCACUAGCUCAUCCAUAUUUCCAUGGAUUGGCAAAUCUGGACAAUGAACCAUCCAUGAAACCCAUUUCAAAAUUUGAAUUUGAAUUUGAACGAAGGAAAUUGGCUGAAGAUGAUGUCCGAGAGCUAAUCUACAGAGAGAUAUUAGAGUACCAUCCGCAGAUGCUUCAGGAGCACCUUCAAGGCAAAGAUCAGAUUAGCUUCAUGUAUCCAAGUGGAGUUGAUCGGUUUAGACGACAAUUUGCUUGUCUCGAGGAAUAUGGAACGAAUGACAGUGGCAUUCUGCUACAAAGGAAAUAUACAUCUUUGCCUAGGGAACGAAUCUGCAAUGAUGAUACUGAUCACAUUGAUCAAUCAAAAAAGCGUACCGUGUCUUCUGCUACUCGUGCGACAUAUCAAAGCCCUACAAAAUUGCAAGGAUCCCGGGACUUGGGGUACGCAAACCAGAAGGUUUCAGGGAUUCAGCACACCUCUGGGAAACCUACUUCAAGUACUGCCCGUUGCCUGUUGAAAAGCAAUAGCAUCAGUGCUUCAAGGUGUGUUGGUGUCAUUCAGAAACCUUGUGAGGUGCACAAUGAAGUACAGAAAGCAAUAGCUUAAUCCAUCUGUAUUCGACAUAGAUUCUAGUGCUUUGUUAUAUUUUGCUAUGUCUGCAACUUUCAUUUCCUUUGGAGCUUGUAGCUGUUAUUUAUGAUUCUUCAGAUGGAGUUACCUACCUGUUUUCCAUCGACGACUUUUAACAAAUUAGUUUCUCGUCGUGGAGAUGGGAAAGAAAAUUAUUUACGGGAGUCAAUUGGGUCUUUGCUGUAAAGGUACGCAUACUUUGCAGUCAAUACUCAAAAAGUUGACUAGGUUUUAACUGCAGUUUCACAUGAAUCAAGCAAUUCAAUUAGAGGCACAUUUUGGCAAUUUCAUUUAUCUGUGAAACCAAGAUCAUAUUUACAACAUGAAACAUGCAAUUGUAGCCAAUGGGUUGGAGAUAUGGCUGCAUGAAAGAGAGUCCACUCAUUGAUUCAUGUAAUAGUCCUUUUUAAUUGUCUGCAGUUAAGAAAGAAAGCAAGGGGUGCCAUAUUCAUAUAUCCGAAUACCGAGAAUUGUGGUUGAAAAGCCUCCGCUCCUUCGCAAGAUGCUGCAAUCUCCUAUCUCGAGAAAAAAUAUUUUCAAAAUUGGAUCGAUGGUUAAAUCAAUUAGACUAUUUAUUCGCUAGUUUGACCAAUACUAUCGGUUUAAUUAAAUAAAUUAUAAAAAUUAAAAAA